ACUCCUACGGGGAGGCAGCAGUAGGGAAUCUUCCACAAUGGACGAAAGUCUGAUGGAGCAACGCCGCGUGAACGAUGAAGGCCUUCGGGUCGUAAAGUUCUGUUGUAAGGGAAGAACAAGUGCCGCAGGCAAUGGCGGCACCUUGACGGUACCUUGCGAGAAAGCCACGGCUAACUACGUGCCAGCAGCCGCGGUAAUACGUAGGUGGCAAGCGUUGUCCGGAAUUAUUGGGCGUAAAGCGCGCGCAGGCGGCCUCUUAAGUCUGAUGUGAAAGCCCCCCGGGCUCAACCGGGGAGGGCCAUUGGAAACUGGGAGGCUUGAGUAUAGGAGAGAAGAGUGGAAUUCCACGUGUAGCGGUGAAAUGCGUAGAGAUGUGGAGGAACACCGAGUGGCGAAGGCGACUCUUUGGCCUAUAACUGACGCUGAGGCGCGAAAGCGUGGGAGCAAACAGGAUUAGAUACCCCUGGUAGG
rnacentral:rRNA from 1 species